rnacentral:rRNA from 1 species
UCUCCAGACUCCUACGGGAGGCAGCAGUGGGGAAUAUUGCACAAUGGGGGAAACCCUGAUGCAGCGACGCCGCGUGAGUGAAGAAGUAAUUCGUUAUGUAAAGCUCUAUCAGCAGGGAAGAAAAUGACGGUACCUGAGUAAGAAGCUCCGGCUAACUACGUGCCAGCAGCCGCGGUAAUACGUAGGGGGCAAGCGUUAUCCGGAUUCACUGGGUGUAAAGGGAGCGUAGACGGCGACGCAAGUCUGGAGUGAAAGCCCGGGGCCCAACCCCGGGACUGCUCUGGAAACUGCGGCGCUGGAGUACGGGAGGGGCAGGCGGAAUUCCUGGUGUAGCGGUGAAAUGCGUAGAUAUCAGGAGGAACACCGGCGGCGAAGGCGGCCUGCUGGACCGUGACUGACGUUGAGGCUCGAGAGCGUGGGGAGCAAACAGGAUUAGAUACCCUCGUAGG